UAGGAAGACCCCCCGCCCGCUGGACCGAUGACCUGAAGAGGGUGGCGGGAGCGGUUGGAUGAGGAAGACGGAGGAUCGUGUUUGGUGGCGCGCUCUUGGAUAGGUCUAUGUCCAGCUGUGGACGCAUACAGGCUGAUGGAAUGGAAUUGAUAUACAAACCCAGAGCUAUUGAAGACAACAAGUGUUC